rnacentral:rRNA from 1 species
AGCGAACGCUGGCGGCAGGCCUAACACAUGCAAGUCGAACGGACUCUUCGGAGUUAGUGGCGGACGGGUGAGUAACACGUGGGAACGUGCCUUUAGGUUCGGAAUAACUCAGGGAAACUUGUGCUAAUACCGAAUGUGCCCUUCGGGGGAAAGAUUUAUCGCCUUUAGAGCGGCCCGCGUCUGAUUAGCUAGUUGGUGAGGUAAUGGCUCACCAAGGCUACGAUCAGUAGCUGGUCUGAGAGGAUGACCAGCCACAUUGGGACUGAGACACGGCCCAAACUCCUACGGGAGGCAGCAGUGGGGAAUCUUGCGCAAUGGGCGAAAGCCUGACGCGGCCAUGCCGCGUGGAUGAUGAAGGUCUUAGGAUUGUAAAAUCCUUUCACCGGUGAAGAUAAUGACUGUAGCCGGAGAAGAAGCCCCGGCUAACUUCGUGCCAGCCGCCGCCGUAAUAC